ACGGAAGGCAGCAGUGGGGAAUAUUGCACAAUGGGGGAAACCCUGAUGCAGCGACGCCGCGUGAGUGAAGAAGUAUUUCGGUAUGUAAAGCUCUAUCAGCAGGAAAGAAAAUGACGGUACCUGACUAAGAAGCCCCGGCUAACUACGUGCCAGCAGCCGCGGUAAUACGUAGGGGGCAAGCGUUGUCCGGAAUGAUUGGGCGUAAAGGGCGCGUAGGCGGCCUGUUAAGUCAGAAGUGAAACUCCUGCUUUUAAGGUGGGAACUGCUUUUGAUACUGAUGGGCUUGAGUGCAGGAGAGGUAAGCGGAAUUCCCGGUGUAGCGGUGAAAUGCGUAGAGAUCGGGAGGAACACCAGUGGCGAAGGCGGCUUACUGGACUGUUACUGACGCUGAGGCGCGAAAGUGUGGGGAGCAAACAGGAUUAGAUACCCUGGUA
rnacentral:rRNA from 1 species